rnacentral:rRNA from 1 species
UACAGAGGGUGCGAGCGUUGUUCGGAAUUACUGGGCGUAAAGCGCACGUAGGCGGAUUGUUUAGUUAGGGGUGAAAUCCCAGGGCUCAACCCUGGAACUGCCUCUAAUACUGGCGAUCUAGAGUCCGAGAGAGGUGAGUGGAAUCCCGAGUGUAGAGGUGAAAUUCGUAGAUAUUCGGAGGAACACCAGUGGCGAAGGCGGCUCACUGGCUCGGUACUGACGCUGAGGUGCGAAAGCGUGGGGAGCAAACAGG